GAGCGAGCCCACGGUCUGCCGACGCGGGGCCAGCGGCGGGCCCCAGGAUCCGGAGCUUCGGGCGGGGCCGAGUCCAGCGCCUACCAUGUGUCUGGCAAGGGAGGUGUAACAGUGAGAAAAACUAGGUGUGGUCCAGGCCCUCCAGGGGCUCAGGGGCUCGUGGAAGAAGUGGACAUUGAAGUACUUACCACACAAAUGAGCAUGAAAGUACAAUAGCAAUAUCUGCCACGAAGCUGUUGUUCCCCACCAGAACCAAAUGAGCGCAAGAUCUGACAAAGAAAAAAAAAGGUUCAUCUUUUAUUCCGCCAAACACUUUCAUCUAAAUCAAGAGGGUGGGAUGUGGUUAUUGCUGUGUUUUUAGACAGAAUCAACAGUUUCUGGGUCUGAGAUAUUGCAUACACCCUCUCAGUCCCUGUAUCCUCAGAUGGAGUCACCUGAGAAUCCACAGCAAGUCCUAACCGGGGAUGGGUCUGGGUGGUUAAGGAAGGUUGGCCUCAGAACUGGGCCAGGGGCACUGCUUUGCUUUUGCUGUUUUGAUCAGCUCUCUGCCCGCAGGAGACAAGGAAAACCAAUGGGAACAGCUGGGGAAACUGAGUUACAGAGCUUGUCUACACUGAGUCAACAGGAGCAAAUGCUAGAUCAGAUAGGAUCUCUCUCUCUCUGCCACCCAGGCCAGAGCGCAGUUGAUGCAGGUCAGGGGAGCCCCCCAGUGGAGCAUAGUGUGUCCAGAACUGGUGGGUUGUUGGUCUCACUGACUUCAAGAAUGAAGCCACGGACCCUCGGGAAACUCCUGGAGGGCAGAGCCAUGCCUGCCAUUUUCAUCAUUGCAUUACCACCACCCAGCAC
rnacentral:lncRNA from 1 species